AGAGAGCAAAUUAGAAUCCAAGGAAGUUGACAUGUCAUCACUUCAUUUUUUUGCGCCUGCGCAUAAAUCUGAGAAACGUGAGUUUUGUCUUCAUUGUUUAUCUAGACAUAGGAUAGGUUGUGUGAAAAUAUUACUGAUGUUUAACGUUAAAAAUGGACCAAAAGAUUAAUGCUAAACAACAUUUGACAUGUUUGAACGAACAUAAAUAGAUUAUUUACUAGGUUUUUUUAGCUUUUCGGCGUGAUUUUACAGUCCCCCCACCACGUUUUGUGGGAGCAUAAUGAACGCUAAGUACUUGGUGUUAUUUGGACAUAAAUUAUGAACUUUGUCAAAAGAAACCACAUUUGUUCCGGACCUGGGAUGCCUUCCGGACCUGGGAUGCCUGCCUUCUGAUGGAGAUAAUCAAAGAUCUAUCCAUUACCUUCGACACCGUGAACCAUCAGAUCCUCCUUUACACCCUCUCAGGGCUGGGCAUCUGAGGCUCUGCACACUCUUGGAUUGCAUCCUACCUGGCAGACGGCUCCUACCAGGUGACGUGGCGAGGAUCUGUGUCUGCACCACGUACUCUCACUACUGGUGUCCCCCAAGGCUCAGUUCUAGGCCCUCUUCUCUCUACACACCAAGUCAUUCGGCUCCAUCAUAUCCUCACAUGUUCUCUCCUAACAUUGCUAUGCGGAUGACACUCAACUCAACCUCGACAAGACGGAGCUGCUCUUCCUCCAGGGAAAGCCUGCCCGCUCCAAAACCCUACACCCUAACCCGAGUACUCCGUUCUGCCACCUCAGGUCUCUUGGCUCUCCCACCCCAAGCUUUUCUCUGUCCUGGUACUCCAAUGGUGGAACCAGCUUCCCCCUGAAGCUAGGACAGCAGAGUCGCUGCCCAUCUUCCGAAAGCACCUGAAAAUCCUUACCUUUUCAAAGAGUAUAUUAAAUAUACCCCCCCCCCCCCACACCCCAAAACAAAUUCCUGAACCAACACUUGCACUUGAUUUAAUCCCCCUCCUCGCUUUGUAGUGAUGACUUUGCUGAUAGCUACUUUAUUACGGAAAAGUAUACUUACUAUGCCUGUGAUAUCUGGUUGUCCCACCUAGCUAUCUUAAAAUGAAUGCACUAUCUAGAUAAGAGUGUCUACUAAAUGACUAAAAUAUAAUAUAAAAUGGGUGUGAAUACUUAUGUAAAUGAGAUAUUUCUGUAUUUCAUUUUCAAUAAAUUAGCAUGUUUUCACUUUGUCAGGGUAUUGUGUCAAGAUGAGUGAGAUUUAAAAAAAAAAUGAUUCAGGCUGUAACACAACAAAAUGUGGAAUAACUCAAGGGGUAUGAAUACUUUCUGAAAGCACUGUAUAUAUUAAUGUGGAUGAUUCAUUUUGAGCCCAGGAAUAGGUCAACUGGGCUAAACUGCAUUGUGAAUAAUUUAAGAUUCUAUUAACAUUUAAAGUUGACAUUGAUUUGACACAGUCAGGCCUCAGUGAUAUGAUAAGGUGCAGGGAGGGAACAGAAAGCUGUGCUAUGAUAAUUGCCCAGAUGGCUUUUGUUUGUUUAAUGUCAUCUUUCUCAGGUCUGUUAUUGUACUCGUCAAGAGUGGAUAUCGGAUAAGUGUUCUUGGUCUGCAAGCUAUUGAGGUUCACAUUUAAGCAACUAGCGUUGCUUAGUGACAGCUCUGACUCCAGCUGACCGCAGCCUGCCACCAGCGCUCCCCUGGGAUCCCGCACUACACCGAGAGCCAAUCAGCAUCUGAUUAGAGGAAGCAGCCCAUGGAGAGGAGAGGUGUCCAUCUACC
rnacentral:lncRNA from 1 species